GACGAACGCUGGCGGCGUGCUUAACACAUGCAAGUCGAACGGAAAGGCCCUGCUUUUGUGGGGUGCUCGAGUGGCGAACGGGUGAGUAACACGUGAGUAACCUGCCCUUGACUUUGGGAUAACUUCAGGAAACUGGGGCUAAUACCGGAUAGGAGCUCCUGCUGCAUGGUGGGGGUUGGAAAGUUUCGGCGGUUGGGGAUGGACUCGCGGCUUAUCAGCUUGUUGGUGGGGUAGUGGCUUACCAAGGCUUUGACGGGUAGCCGGCCUGAGAGGGUGACCGGCAACAUUGGGACUGAGAUACGGCCCAGACUCCUACGGGAGGCAGAUGUGGGGAAUAUUGCACAAUGGGCGGAAGCCUGAUGCAGCAACGCCGCGUGCGGGAUGACGGCCUUCGGGUUGUAAACCGCUUUCGCCUGUGACGAAGCGUGAGUGACGGUAAUGGGUAAAGAAGCACCGGCUAACUACGUG
rnacentral:rRNA from 1 species